GUGUCAGCCGCCGCGGUAGAACGUAGGAUCCUAGCGUUAUCCGAAUUUACUGGGCGUAAAGCGCGUGCAGGUGGUUUGGUAAGUUGGAUGUGAAAGCUCCUGGCUCAACUGGGAGAGGCCGUUCAAAACUACCAGACUUGAGGGCGGUAGAGGAAGGUGGAAUUCCCGGUGUAGUGGUGAAAUGCGUAGAUAUCGGGAGGAACACCAGUGGCGAAGGCGGCCUUCUGGGCCGUCCCUGACACUCAGACGCGAAAGCUAGGGGAGCAAACGGGAUUAGAUACCCCGGUAGUCCUAGCUGUAAACGAUGCGAACUUGGCGUUGGUGGGUUAAAAACCAUCAGUGCCGAAGCUAACGCGUUAAGUUCGCCGCCUGGGGAUUACGGUCGCAAGGCUAAAACUCAAAUGAAUUGACGGGG
rnacentral:rRNA from 1 species